rnacentral:lncRNA from 1 species
AUUACUAGUUUUGGAAAUUUUCCUAAUCGUAGUACUAAUACUUUUGGCUUUUCAAUAUUGACUUUUAAGCGUUAUUCUAAGUUGAUUAAUAAGUUUACUAUGAAAUUUUAUUGACUAUUACUAGAAUCCUCAUCCAAAGAUUAAUGAUUCAUAAUUUCUAAUACUGCUCCCGAUGAUGAUGGCAUGUCAUUGAUUUCUAUUAGUUCCUCCCAAUAUUCUUCACGUUUCUCAGGAUUAUCGAUUUUACAUCUUAAACUCGCAGAAUGGGCAUCAUUGUUUCUUUGCAUUUUGUAUAAUAAAUUUUCUUUUUCUUUUUUCUCAGUGAAAUCGAUUUUCUGGUUAGGCCACAAUUGUUGCAACAUCAUUCCAACAAAUGAUACUGUCUAGUAGUAAUUACAUACAAGUGCCAUCACUUCGUAUUACGCUUCAUUUCAACUAAGAACAGCUACACGUUGACAACCAGAUGCCAUGUAGCUAUCAGAUUCAACUUCUUUUUCCUAAUGUCACAGAAAAUUUUAGUGGACAUGUCGUAGUGUUGGAAAACGACCCAUUAGACUUCACAUCACUGAAUGAUACAUAUUAUUGUACUGAAUGCAGGUGUCAUCACUUCACACAUGCUUUAUUUCAACGGACAGCAGCUACAAGUUUACAACCAUAGGCCAUGUGUUAUUUAUUUAUCAUAUAAAAGAUUGUAAACUCCGACACAAAGUUGAGGGAACAUAUCAUAAUAUCAAUAAAUGACGUAAUUACAAAGGUCAUCACUUCUUGCGUGCUUCACUUCAACGUUAGAAAUAUAUUUGUCAGAUAACUUAGGGUUAAUUUAGAAUUGCGGAGACUGAUAAAAUAAGUUAUUUAUGUUGUAUAGAUAAAAUAAAUUGUUGUUUAAAAAAGUAAUUUAGCUUUUGGUAAACUGUGCAGUUGCAGUUAUUGUGAGUUUGAAAAGUAAAGUGUAUGUGUUUGGUAAAUUUUAUUACGAAAAUGUUGUUUUAUUAUAUAAUG